rnacentral:rRNA from 1 species
UACGAAGGGGGCUAGCGUUGUUCGGAAUUACUGGGCGUAAAGCGUAUGUAGGCGGAUCGUUAAGUCGGGGGUGAAAUCCCGAGGCUCAACCUCGGAACUGCCUUCGAUACUGGCGAUCUUCGAGUCCGGGAGAGGUGAGUGGAACUCCGAGUGUAGAGGUGAAAUUCGUAGAUAUUCGCAAGAACACCAGUGGCGAAGGCGGCUCACUGGCCCGGUACUGACGCUGAGGCACGAAAGCGUGGGGAGCAAACAGG